GACGAACGUUGGCGGCGUGCUUAACACAUGCAAGUCGAACGGAAAGGCCCUGCUUUUGUGGGGUGCUCGAGUGGCGAACGGGUGAGUAACACGUGAGUAACCUGCCCUUGACUUUGGGAUAACUUCAGGAAACUGGGGCUAAUACCGGAUAGGAGCUCCUGCUGCAUGGUGGGGGUUGGAAAGUUUCGGCGGUUGGGGAUGGACUCGCGGCUUAUCAGCUUGUUGGUGGGGUAGUGGCUUACCAAGGCUUUGACGGGUAGCCGGCCUGAGAGGGUGACCGGCCACAUUGGGACUGAGAUACGGCCCAGACUCCUACGGGAGGCAGCAGUGGGGAAUAUUGCACAAUGGGCGGAAGCCUGAUGCAGCAACGCCGCGUGCGGGAUGACGGCCUUCGGGUUGUAAACCGCUUUCGCCUGUGACGAAGCGUGAGUGACGGUAAUGGGUAAAGAAGCACCGGCUAACUACGUGCCAGCAGCCGCGGUGAUACGUAGGGUGCGAGCGUUGUCCGGAUUUAUUGGGCGUAAAGGGCUCGUAGGUGGUUGAUCGCGUCGGAAGUGUAAUCUUGGGGCUUAACCCUGAGCGUGCUUUCGAUACGGGUUGACUUGAGGAAGGUAGGGGAGAAUGGAAUUCCUGGUGGAGCGGUGGAAUGCGCAGAUAUCAGGAGGAACACCAGUGGCGAAGGCGGUUCUCUGGGCCUUUCCUGACGCUGAGGAGCGAAAGCGUGGGGAGCGAACAGGCUUAGAUACCCUGGUAGUCCGCGCUGUAAACGGUGGGUACUAGGUGUGGGGUCCAUUCCACGGGUUCCGUGCCGUAGCUAACGCUUUAAGUACCCCGCCUGGGGAGUACGGCCGCAAGGCUAAAACUCAAAGGAAUUGACGGGGCCCCGCACAAGCGGCGGAGCAUGCGGAUUAAUUCGAUGCAACGCGUAGAACCUUACCUGGGUUUGACAUGGAUCGGGAGUGCUCAGAGAUGGGUGUGCCUCUUUUGGGGUCGGUUCACAGGUGGUGCAUGCCUGUCGUCAGCUCGUGUCGUGAGAUGUUGGGUUAAGUCCCGCAACGAGCGCAACCCUUGUUCACUGUUGCCAGCACGUUAUGGUGGGGACUCAGUGGAGACCGCCGGGGUCAACUCGGAGGAAGGUGGGGAUGACGUCAAGUCAUCAUGCCCCUUAUGUCCAGGGCUUCACGCAUGCUACAAUGGCUGGUACAGAGAGUGGCGAGCCUGUGAGGGUGAGCGAAUCUCGGAAAGCCGGUCUCAGUUCGGAUUGGGGUCUGCAACUCGACCUCAUGAAGUCGGAGUCGCUAGUAAUCGCAAAUCAGCAACGCUGCGGUGAAUACGUUCCCGGGGCU
rnacentral:rRNA from 1 species